GAUGAAGAAGCAGCGAAAUGCGAUACAUAAUGUGAAUUGCAAAUUCAGUGAAUCAUCGAGUCUUUGAACGCACAUUGCGCCCCCUGGUAUUCCGGGGGGCAUGCCUGUCCGAGCGUCAUUGCUGCCCUCAAGCACGGCUUGUGUGUUGGGCCCCGUCCUCCGAUCCCGGGGGACGGGCCCGAAAGGCAGCGGCGGCACCGCGUCCGGUCCUCGAGCGUAUGGGGCUUUGUCACCCGCUCUGUAGGCCCGGCCGGCGCUUGCCGAUCAACCCAAAUUUUUAUCCAGGUUGACCUCGGAUCAGGUAGGGAUACCCGCUGAACUUAAGCAUAUCAAUAAGCGGAGGA
rnacentral:misc_RNA from 1 species